UUAGAUUGAAGAAGCUUGCUUCUGAUUGAUAACAUUUGAGUGAGUGGCGGACGGGUGAGUAACACGUGGGUAACCUGCCCUAAAGUGGGGGAUAACAUUUGGAAACAGAUGCUAAUACCGCAUAAAACCUAGCACCGCAUGGUGCAAGGUUGAAAGAUGGUUUCGGCUAUCACUUUAGGAUGGACCCGCGGUGCAUUAGUUAGUUGGUGAGGUAAAGGCUCACCAAGACCGUGAUGCAUAGCCGACCUGAGAGGGUAAUCGGCCACACUGGGACUGAGACACGGCCCAGACUCCUACGGGAGGCAGCAGUAGGGAAUCUUCCACAAUGGACGAAAGUCUGAUGGAGCAACGCCGCGUGAGUGAAGAAGGUUUUCGGAUCGUAAAACUCUGUUGUUGGAGAAGAACGUAUUUGAUAGUAACUGAUCAGGUAGUGACGGUAUCCAACCAGAAAGCCACGGCUAACUACGUGCCAGCAGCCGCGGUAAUACGUAGGUGGCAAGCGUUGUCCGGAUUUAUUGGGCGUAAAGCGAGCGCAGGCGGUUUCUUAAGUCUGAUGUGAAAGCCUUCGGCUCAACCGAAGAAGUGCAUCGGAAACUGGGAAACUUGAGUGCAGAAGAGGACAGUGGAACUCCAUGUGUAGCGGUGAAAUGCGUAGAUAUAUGGAAGAACACCAGUGGCGAAGGCGGCUGUCUGGUCUGUAACUGACGCUGAGGCUCGAAAGCAUGGGUAGCAAACAGGAUUAGAUACCCUGGUAGUCCAUGCCGUAAACGAUGAGUGCUAGGUGUUGGAGGGUUUCCGCCCUUCAGUGCCGCAGCUAACGCAUUAAGCACUCCGCUUGCUGGGGAGUACGACCGCAAGGUUGAAACU
rnacentral:rRNA from 1 species